AGAUUGUUGAUAAAGAUGUGGUUUCCUGGGGUACAAUUAUUGAUGGUUAUUUGCAAGUGGGGAGGUUGAGUGAGGCUGUCAGAAUGUAUUCUGAAAUGCUAUAUACUGGGCUGCGUCCUAAUGAUGUUAUGAUUGUAGACUUUCUAUCAACAUUUGGACAAGUUAUGGCUAUUUAUGAGGGUAGGCAGUUCUGCGUCCUAAUGAUAUUAUGAUUGUAGACUUUCUAUCAACAUUUGGACAAGUUAUGGCUAUUUAUGAGGGUAGGCAGUUUCAUGGUGUAGCAGUGAAGAAGGGUUUUGAUAUCUUGGACU
rnacentral:lncRNA from 1 species